rnacentral:rRNA from 1 species
UGCCUAAUACAUGCAAGUCGAGCGGAUUGAUGGGAGCUUGCUCCCUGAUAUCAGCGGCGGACGGGUGCAGUAACACGUGGGUAACCUGCCUGUAAGACUGGGAUAACUCCGGGAAACCGGGGCUAAUACCGGAUAACUCAUUUCCUCGCAUGAGGAAAUGUUGAAAGAUGGCUUCGGCUAUCACUUACAGAUGGACCCGCGGCGCAUUAGCUAGUUGGUGAGGUAACGGCUCACCAAGGCGACGAUGCGUAGCCGACCUGAGAGGGUGAUCGGCCACACUGGGACUGAGACACGGCCCAGACUCCUACGGGAGGCAGCAGUAGGGAAUCUUCCGCAAUGGACGAAAGUCUGACGGAACAACGCCCCGUGAGUGAUGAAGGUUUUCGGAUCGUAAAGCUCUGUUGUUAGGGAAGAACAAGUGCCGUUCGAAUAGGGCGGCACCUUGACGGUACCUAACCAGAAAGCCACGGCUAACUACGUGCCAGC